GCAGGCUGNAACCCGCCUGCAUGAAGUCGGAAUUGCUAGUAAUCGCGGAUCAGCAUGCCGCGGUGAAUACGUUCCCGGGCCUUGUACACACCGCCCGUCACACCAUGGGAGCCGGUAAUACCCGAAGUCAGUAGUCCAACCACGUGAGGACGCUGCCGAAGGUAGGAUUGGCGACUGGGGUGAAGUCGUAACAAGGUAAC
rnacentral:rRNA from 1 species